CCUACGGGAGGCAGCAGUGGGGAAUAUUGCUCAAUGGGGGAAACCCUGAUGCAGCGACGCCGCGUGAGUGAAGAAGUAUUUCGGUAUGUAAAGCUCUAUCAGCCGGGAAGAAAAUGACGGUACCUGUGUAAGAAGCGCCGGCUAACUACGUGCCAGCAGCCGCGGUAAUACGUAGGGGGCAAGCGUUAACCGGAUUUACUGGGGGUAAGGGGAGGGUUGAGGGAAGUAAAAGUCCGGAGGGAAAUGCCGGGGCUUAACCCCGGAACUGCUUUUGAAACUGAGCAGCUAGAGUGCAGGAGAGGUAAGAGGAAUGUCUGGUGUAGCGGUGAAAUGCGUAGAUAUCAGGCGGAACACCAGUGGCGAAGGCGGCUUACUGGACUGCAACUGACGUUGAGGCACGAAAGCGUGGGGAGCAAACAGGAUUAGAUACCCUUGUAGUC
rnacentral:rRNA from 1 species